GAAAUGCGAUAAGUAGUGUGAAUUGCAGAAUUCAGUGAAUCAUCGAAUCUUUGAACGCAUCUUGCACUCCUUGGUAUUCCGAGGAGUAUGCCUGUUUGAGCGUCAUUAAAAUUAUCAAAGCCAAAAAAAAUGAAGUUGGUUUUGGACUUUGAGAGUUGCAGKUCCGUUGUAGGAUGAGCUCUCUUAAAAUGAAUUAGCAGAGUCUAAYGGAGCUUUAUUGGUGUGAUAAGAAGAUCGCCAGAGAAAGUAACRUUAGAAUGUGCUUUGGAUGGAAAUUUUAAGAAAUUUGACCUCAAAUCAGGUAGGAGUACCCGCUGAACUUAA
rnacentral:rRNA from 1 species